rnacentral:misc_RNA from 1 species
UGGAAUGUGACCGCGCAGAUCCUGAUUUCUUUGCUACUGGCAACGGUGGAAGCUUAGUAUUUGGUGCAGGCUGAGACAGAUUCAUCUGUUGAUGCACCUGCUGCAUAAUAGUCGCAACUUUAUGGUGCUCAGCUUCAUACUUCUCAUACGCUGGUUUGAACAUCUCUUCAAAGAUACCAAGAUACUCCUCAGCCAAAUUAUGCACAUGCUGA